rnacentral:lncRNA from 10 species
AUAACGGUAAGGAUGAAGAAAGUUCCAGGUAGAAGAAAUAUAACAUGUAAAGUCUCAAAGGAAAAGGAGAAAGAGAGCUCACAUGUGUUUGGGCAACUGUUAGUCAUUAUGUAUGAAUGAGGCAUAAAGUACUUUAUAAGACUCAAGAAUUAAGGAAGAGCCUGUAUAACAGGCUGCAGAAAUUGGUCUUUUCCUGAAGGCAAAGGGGUGUCAUUGAAGAAGAUUAAGCAUAAGGAUGACAUUAGCUGCAAGACUGCCUUCCAUGACAUUGAGCUUCUCAUGAAGUCCAUCACCCUAAAAAGAAACCCAUCAGCUUCCUCCAGUUCAAGAAAUGGCCAGCAACCAAAAACCCUCCACCCAUAUUGGACAGUCCUUCCUUUUUUGAAAUCCCCAAACUGCUAGCUUGCCCUCUUGUAGCCAAACAAAGACUGCCAAAUGUACUGAAGACAAAUUGGAAGCCUCUCCUGCUUCCAAAAACUUCCAAAGUCACAAAACAUGUAACAUUUAGAGACUGACUCAGUGUUUCCUCUUUUAUCCUAUAAAACUGAUUUUACGUUCUAUGCCUUUGGAACUGCUGAAACAAAAGAGACAAUAGAUGGGUUUCCUUACAAGACUCUGCCUACAGCUAAAGCUGGCCUCAACUCAAGCUAUGGAAAAUAAUUCAGUCUCCUUUUAAUUAACCAUUAUCACUCACAGCCUAAAAAUUAUCACUCAGAGCAUGAGAUAUUAUUAUAAACAGAAAUGGAGACUAUGUACUAAUUCUAUGUCACAGCCUGAAAGCUCCUUUUUUGGGAAAACCAUGAUAUUAAGCUGUAAUAUCCUCGUUUGAUCUGUUCUCCUCAAGUUGAAGCAACACAAUUCUAACUGACUGAGGAAUGCAGUAAAAUGGUGCUUUCUCUAGUUUCAGCUCCUUCCUGUGAUCCGAAGCUAUAGAGGUCUCCACCUAUUUUUUAUUUACAAAACUCAUUAACCAACAAACCAAACAUGGUCUCCCAUCCAGCUGACCUGAAAACCCUCCUGAUUUCAACUUGAUAAGAAACAUUGAAUUAAUUAAAUCUAAGCACGGGUUGUCCUGAACUGAGACAAUGGCUCCCUCUGUGAGAACUGCAAACACAAACCUCAGAAGCUUUUUAUGGCCAGGUUAGCAUGAACAGCUGUCCCCUCAGCUGCCUUUCAAUUAGUUGAGAAGGUGGAGGCUGCCUGCUAAGUCAGGUUUGGGAUGCACUGAGGCUCUACCAGUGGAUGUGGUGUAUAAUGAGCGGGGCCCAUUGCCGAGCAGUUGGUUCUGCAGCACGCAGUUGAGGGAAUCGAAUACCACAGGGCUCCUGCCCCCAUCUGCAUCCCCUCUCUUCCUUGGCUUGCUGCAUCCAAUACCAUUCCCAUCAGCACAAAAAAAAAGAAAUACACAAUGAAAGAUGAGACACACACCUGCCUGCUUUAACUCUGGGUUUUAAAAAGGGGCUCUCCUAACAGGGAGCCAAGGCAUCGGAGUGACACAGAGAGGUCAGGCAAGUGAAGGCCAUAGUCCUUGAAGGCCUGACCCCAAGAAGGGUACCCUUCAUCCAUGGUUUAGCCUUGGCAGAUCACAGCCCUUCUCAUUUUACAACCUGGGAGCCGGGUGAUGAUGCAUUGAAAGGGUGGUGACUGUAAGAAUAACAGUUCAAAGUGAGAGCAUUAGAGCCAGGCUGCAGGUGCAGGGGAGUUAGAAAGGUGGGCCUGAAUCUCAAUGUAUUUGGCACUUAGCUCGUAAUUGGAUAGAGAGAUCCUCAACCCUGUUGAAGCAGAGAUUACAAUAUUAGUACCAAGUAUUGAGCAUCUAUUGUGUCCCAGAUUUUUAAAUAUACUACAUGUAGUUAUGACUUAGGUAUUAGUAAUCCUUGUUUUAUCAGAUGAGGAAACUAGGGCUCAAAAGGUGAAGUAGCUCUCUCAAAGUCACACAGGGAGCAAGAGCUGAAGGAGGCCUUCAGACCCAGACCUGCCUGCAUGUGAUCUGUGUAUGAGAGCAAACUGUCACAAUCCUCAGCAAACACAAACUCAUGGGCAUUCUGAAGUCCAGAGAGAGGUCCCAGUGUUCUUGUCAACUCAACCUUCUAGAAGGUUUAUUUGGGGAUAUGUGCUUUUAAAAGGAAGUAAACAGAUGAUGGCAGGAUAAGAAAACAGGCUCUCUUCUGAGCCUAAUUGCAAUUAGCAAAUAACCUCAGCCUCAAAUUAUGAUGUAUUUAGCACCAGAAAUUAAAUUCAUUAAUUAUUGUGCAGCCAACACUGAAAUCUUGCAGCAAGUCUAUCCUCUGAAUAAAAUAUUUUCAAAUUAAUAGUGAGAUUAUUCCUUCUUAUUAACAAUUUAAUAGUUAUGUGUUAACCAUUUUUAAUUAAGUAAAAAAGAAAAAGGUCAGUAAGAGAAUUGGAAGAUAUUCAAAUCAGGAGUACCCUGGGUUGGAAAGCAACAGAAUUGAGACCUCUAGAAAGAGCUAUCUUCUGUCUUCCAGGAGUUCAAGCAUGAGACAGACAGUUGAGCCUAUCCUUAGUCCAGUAAAUUUGCCACUUUACAAAUUUAAAACUUGAAAUUUGCAAGUAUAUUUGUAUGCCUAUAUUCUCAUUCAUGUAUUAAUUAUCGUUCCCUUUCAUUCAGUGAUAAACACAUGUGUAUAGAGUGUGUCAGGCACUGUGCUAGACUCUGGGGAUUCAAGGUACAACAAGACGUAGUGCUUGUCCACAGGAGAUCAGUCUAGUCAGAUAAUAGGCACAAAAAUUUAAAGUAGGUACACUAUGUGGUAAGGAUAGAGCUAUGCAAAGAAUGUUGUAAGAGCUUAGAGGAGGAUUUGGGGGAGUAGACCGAGGUAAACCAGAAAAACCUCAUGGAGGAGGUGAUGUUUGAACCAGAUCUUUAAAGAUCAUAACAGCCACUGCAAGGAAGAGGGAAGAAAGAAGAGGAAGUCACUUCAAAGAGACAGCAGAGUGUGAAAACAUCCAGGUAGGUUAGAAGCAAGGUCAUGUGCAUCAUGCGGCUCCUACAAUCAGUUUGGUAGGCAAGCAAUGAGACUGGGGGCAGAGAGCUAAGCAAAGACAGCAUGGAGGGUCUUGCAUUACUGA